AGUCUCGAACGGGACUCGAAUCCGUGCUUGUGCUUUCCGGGCACCGUGCUCUAUCCCUUACACAACCGAGAC
rnacentral:tRNA from 1 species